rnacentral:misc_RNA from 1 species
GAUGAAGAACGCAGCGAAAUGCGAUAAGUAAUGUGAAUUGCAGAAUUCAGUGAAUCAUCGAAUCUUUGAACGCACAUUGCGCCCGCCAGUAUUCUGGCGAGCAUGCCUGUUCGAGCGUCAUUUCAACCAUCAAGCCCCAGGCUUGUGUUGGAGCCCUGCGGCUGCCGCAGCCUCCCAAAACCAGUGGCGGGCUCGCUAUCACACCGAGUGCAGUAGUUUACUCUUCGCUCAGGGCGUGUGGCGGGUGCUAGCCGUGAAACCCCUAACUUCUCAAGGUUGACCUCGGAUCAGGUAGGAAUACCCGCUGAACUUAAGCAUAUCAAUAAGCGGAGGA